UAGAGGAGAUGUUUCCUAAUUAGGAGUUACAAGAGACGCCUCUUACGAGUCUCUUCUGCCUCCAUUGAAGCUUGCUUCCGAUUCGAUUCGAAACCAUGGCCGCUGUAUCCUCGCAAUCUCUUCCCCAAUCUAGCUUCUUCCUCAUCAGUCGAUUCAGCUCCGAUGCUGGUGUAACCGACGGCACCGGAUCCGAUAUCACCGAAGCUCCGACUCAGAUCAUCGAGGCGAAACCCGGAGAGAUGUCGCCGUGAUCCAAAAGGACAGGGAUCAUCGCAGUCAAGUGCGGGAUGAAGAGGCUCUAGGAUAAAUGGGCAGCUAGGGUUCCGGUUUCGAUCCUCUGGGUUGAUGACAACAUCGUCUCUCAGGUCAAAACCGUUGAGAAAGAAUCAACAUCUUCAACAUCCUCUGGUGUAUGCUUUCACUGACUCUGCUUUCAAAGGUAACCCAGCAGCGGUUUGCUUCCUCAACUUUGGCAUCUGCUCAUUGUAUCUUCUCCAACGCUUUGGUUGAUUCAGACAGUGUCGAGUUUGUCACAAGUUCAGGGGAAAGAAGGAUCCUUUUUGAUCGAGUUGAAUUUCCUUGUGGUUCCAACUAGCGAUACCAAUCUCAGUGAUGCAUCCUUUUCCAUGAUCACCAAAGCCUUGAACGGAGCUACCAUUCUUGAUACUAAAGCUACUGCCUCCAACAACAUCAUAGUUGUGCUUUCAUCUUUGGAAUCUGUCACUGAACUGCAACCAAAUAUGGAUGAUAUAUUGAAAUGCUCUUUUGAUGGCAUCAUCUUCACAGCUGCAGGUUACUUCUUGUUCCUUCUAUAAUCACAAUCAGAUCCAACUCUGUUGAGCUACGAACAAAGCUUUCCUCUGUUGUGAUGCGAAGACAUUUUGUAUUACUAUUUGCUUGUUUUAUUUCUGCCAUCAUUGAUAUUGUCCAUCUUUGAGAGUGUAAACUCGUGCCGAAUAAGUUACUUUAUUAAAAGAAAAUCUUCAUGGCCUAAUGGGUUAAUUAUUCACGUUUUGGAAACGAAUGCUGCCGAUGUCCAUGCUAUAUAUGUUUUCUUUAUUAAAGAUAUUGUUGAGUCUGUUUUGCUUGAAGAUGAAACUGACGAUAAGGGUGCCAAACAUGGGAAGAAAACUAAUCGGACUUCUCGUGAGAAGGUUAGUUUUAGUUUGUUUGAUCAUCAGUUUUGAUAUGCUACUAAUGACUUGUUGGGAACAUUGAGUGAUAGUGUUUAGCUCGUGUUAGUAUGCUUAUUUUUUAGGUUGUAAAAAUUGUUUUUAAGUUUGGGUUUUUGUUAUUAGGAAUCGAGAAUGGACACUCGUGGUCAGUAGGCUUCUCUGUGUAUUAUGAGUUGUUGUUGAAGAAGAUGGUGUGUGUUAUUGUUCUGUUUCAUGUUACAUGUUCUUGUUUUGUUAUUUCAUGUUCUUGUUUUUUUUUCAAGAACCCCUAAAUAAGAUACUACUAUUGGAGCACAAAAUCAAGGUGUUUCUUAACUAAAGUUCUUAAUUAUAUUUAAUUACUAAAAUAAUCACUAAGAGACCCUAAUGGGGUUUGUGGAUUAAUCAUGCUCUAAGAUAACCAAACACUUCACUGUAUCAAUUAAUUAAAAAGGUGUGUUGUUCAAAAAUGAAAAAAGAAGAAUGUGAAAAGGUGCUUCGUUCAUGAAUUAAAAAAAAAAUACAUGUGAAAGGGUGAGUAUGCAUGGUUGAUUAGGCGAUGUAUGCAUGAUUCUUGUUUAUGAGUAUAUGAAUAGUGGUAACUUAGAACAAUGGUUACAUGGAGACAUGGGGAAACUCAACACUCUCACUUGGGAGGCAUUGCACAAGCGCUUACUUAUUUACAUGAAGCUAUAGAACCAAAGGUAGUCUACAGACAUAAAAGCAAGCAAUAUCAAGAUUGAUGAUGAUAGUCAUGGGUUACCUUUUUAUAAACUAUUUUGCACCCAGUCAAAAAGAAGUCUAGCUUCGCCCCUGGUCAUGGGCACAUUUGGGUAUGUAACACCCGAAUAUGCUAAUACAAGUCUUUUAAAUGAGAUGAGUGUGACAUCUAUAGCUUUGGUGUCCUGCUUCUGGAAGCUAUAACUGGAAGAGAUCCAGUUGACUAUGAACGUCCAGCUAAUGAGGUAGCCUAAUCACGUCUGCUUUGUCAUUUGUAUCCAAGAGUAAUGAAUGUGUUUGUUAAUUUGGUGCAUGAAUCGGAUGACAACCCUUUUGGCGAGGUAUGCAUAAUACUUAGAUUCACCGGGGGCGGAGGAACAGAAAGAGUAGAACAGCGAGUAUGGAGAUAGUCGAGGCCACAGAGGAAUCAGCUAACACAAGCAAACGGCCUGGUCACUCACAGAACCACACAACAAAAUCUAAAAAAACAAAAACAAAAGAGCUGUUUCAGUAGUUUCUAACAUCAGGCAAGUAACUAAAUGAUACAAUCUUAGGAGCCAGUAUCAUUUUUUAAUGAUUUGAGUUUCUUCCAUAGGUUGUUGUUGCACCUACAUUUAAUGUAAACAUGACAUGUCAAAUAUCAAUCAAUUUUAUUUAAAAAAAUAAAAUCAAAACGA